rnacentral:rRNA from 1 species
GACGAACGCUGGCGGCGUGCUUAACACAUGCAAGUCGAACGGAAAGGCCCUGCUUGCAGGGUACUCGAGUGGCGAACGGGUGAGUAACACGUGGGUGAUCUGCCCUGCACUUCGGGAUAAGCCUGGGAAACUGGGUCUAAUACCGGAUAGGAGCCAUUUUUAGUGUGAUGGUUGGAAAGUUUUUUCGGUGUAGGAUGAGCUCGCGGCCUAUCAGCUUGUUGGUGGGGUAAUGGCCUACCAAGGCGGCGACGGGUAGCCGGCCUGAGAGGGUGGACGGCCACAUUGGGACUGAGAUACGGCCCAGACUCCUACGGGAGGCAGCAGUGGGGAAUAUUGCACAAUGGGCGCAAGCCUGAUGCAGCGACGCCGCGUGGGGGAGGACGGCCUUCGGGUUGUAAAUUCCUUUCGCUAGGGACGAAGCUUUUUGUGACGGUACCUAGAUAAGAAGCACCGGCUAACUACGUG